rnacentral:sRNA from 1 species
AAUUUUCUAAGUUGAGUCACAAGAUUUGAUUGUACUAAUGCAUAUUCUUCUAUUUCAGAGUAUGCGGUUGAAAUUGAUUGCAAAUAAUACAACAGUGGAACGGAGGUUUAGCUCAUGGAUUGGCGGCUCCAUUCUAGCCUCUUUGGGUACCUUUCAACAGAUGUGGAUUUCCAAGCAAGAAUAUGAAGAAGGAGGGAAGCAGUGUGUAGAAAGAAAAUGCCCUUGAGAAAGAGUUCCCAAGCUUCUACCUUCCUUUUGUCACCUUACGUUUCAUAGCUUUAGUAUACUCAGGAAAAGAAUGACCAUCUUUUGUAGAAUGUUUAUACAUUUUUGCAUAUUUCAAUUUCCACUUAAAUUUUUUAAAGCUUUAACUGGCUCUAUAAAUUAAGUUUGUGCUUUCCUUGAAAUGCACUUAUUCUUAUUACAAGCAUUUUAUAAUUUUGUAUAAAUGUCUAUU